CACACACUGAUGCUCAUCAAACAGAUACUUGAAUUCACGAAACAGAAAAAUAAAUCAACACCCAAAACGCAACCGUUUCAUCACGAACUACCCACAACACAUUGCACACAGCAACAGCAGUAGCAAUUUCCCAUUGAUCUCACUCAGCACAAAUCAAAUUCACGCAAUGCAAAAAAAAAAACCCAAAGCUUUGAUCGACGGAAAACCAAAGCAAUGGGCUGAGGAAGGCGGCGGCGGCGGCUUCGACGAUGAAACCCAGAGAAACCCAGAGCUUGGAUCGACGAUGAAACCCACGAAAUCCAGAGAAACCCAGGCUUGUACGAGCACGGAAAGGGCUAGUUUGGGUUUCUUUGUUUCUGAAUUUGAAGGGUUCACGGAAUCGUUGUAUGAGCACGGGAACUCUCAAGAAGCCCAAACUAGCCCAUUCCAUGCUUUCCCAGUCGCUUCGAUUCCUAUUUGGUGAUGCAUUCAUGUACUCGUAAUACUUUGUAUUAUGAAUCUUAAGGCGUUACUUUGUGAAAUAUACAAUAACGUGAACGAUUUAUAUAACCACAUGAAUUCAAGUAGCCAGGUCCUACUCCUAGCUAUUGAAUUAAUACUGAGCUCUUGAAUUUCUUUUCUCCUUUCUCCUAUCUGCUCCGAUUGUGGGGUCUCAAAAGUUUGUGGGUUUAGAGGGUCUUUUAUUGUGCUUUUAGUUUGUGGGGUGGACGGACAACUAUGUUGUUUUUGUGAAUUUUAAGGUUCACAGGUUGAUUCUGUUGUUUGGUUCGUUUUUUGGAUCUGAGUUUUAGUUUUAGCGUGUAUUUUUUUUUUUGGUAAAUGUUGCAUCUUUGCUCUUGUGGUAUGGAAUAGGAGGUGAUGAAGUAAGUGGUAGUUUGACUUAGCUUGAGAAGUUACUUGUACUGCAGUUUGUGUCUUUGGAGUUGUUAGUUUGGUUUUGUGAAGGGGUUUAAGAUUUUUGGGUUUUAUUAAUAUUUUGAGGGGGAUAUGGUGGUGAAUUUGAUUAUCAUGGCGAUGGUGAUUCAGGGGUAGUAGAACAGUGAAGGAUGGCUCUCCGUAUAUCAGAUUGAAUAUUUUCUAAUAGUUUAGGCAUAUAUUUUAUUUCAAAUUAAUCAGAACAGUUAUGUGGGCGAAAGUGUGGGGGUUUCAAUCAAUGUUUGUGUGAUUAUAUGUAAACAGGUAAAAAAGAGUAAAACAAUUGCUAUCUUUGAUUAUUUCCCUGGUCUACAAACACAAUUAUUUUGAUUCACUAUCCUAGUUAAAAUGUUUUAUCAGAUCAUCCUAGUGCUCAGGUGUCAUCUCACCAUUUAUGUAGGUGUACAUUUUCCUUUAUAGAUUAUUUCCUUUUCACAAUUGUCUUUUACAAAUUAAUUUGAGUUUAAAAUUUGGGUAUAAUACUAGGUUAAAAUUGUGAUCAAAUAAUUGGUUGAUUGAUGAAUUCAGUCAUGAGUAAUCAUUCAAUUCUAAUUGUCUUUACUGUGGUGAUUUUAUGAAACUGAAAAUUGUGUUUGAAAGUUCAAUUAUGCUUUAAACAUACAUAGGCUCUUUAUGGAUGCGCGUUUUUGUGAAUGGAUUGUUGUAUUCUUAGAAUACUUUUAGCUUUUAGUACCUGCCUGAUGAAUAUGGAUUAAAAUACUUUUUAUGGUUCUUUUUUCUCUUUUCGGCAGUUUAUUACUGGUGAUUUUGAUGAUCUUGUUAUUUUCAGUGGCACAAAAGUAAACACCAUAGGUUCCUGAUUUUCAGAAUUCCGAACUUUUGAGCAAUCACUUGGAUUACACAUAGAUGUUGACCUAAGUAUAUGUAUGUAGCCAAAACUCAACCUUUGACUGGAUUAGAUUAAUCUUGUUGUUGCUCUUUCAAUUACCACUUAAACAGUAUUUCUUUUCUAUUCAUCAUUUUUUAUUUUUCUUUAACUUUAAUAAGUGCAUAACAAAUAUUCCCUACUAAAUUCUUGAGUAGAAAGCGUUGUUUCCAAUCUCUCCUUUCUUUGCCAUGUAGAAUGAGAAACUCAAUUAUUGUCCUAAAAUGUCCAUAUAUAAAUUUCCUGGUGGCUUUCCUCAUAACUAUGUACUUAACCCAAUAAUCAUGUCCACAAAUCCCUAUGGCCUCAUAGCCUGGUAAUUUAGGAUGAUUAUUGUGGAUCAAUUCCUUUGUAACUAUUUUCACCUGAGCUCAGAAAUAUUGCCUUUAGGAUUUAUUUUGACCUUCUGCAUAAAUUUUUCUUAUUCAUCUUUUCUUAAACUUCCCCUGAAGUAUGAGCCUGAAAAAGCAUAAUUACAGGAAGUGUAGGAAUUACAAUUGCUGAAAAUACUGUUCCAUGGUUUAUAAGUUGCUUGGAUUGCAAUUUGGGCAUGCAUGUAAUUGUUUGAAUUAUGAAUCUUAAGGGUUUUUUAUUUUUAUUUUUUGGUGAAAUAUAUAAUAACAUAACAUGAUAUAAUAUUAGGAUGCAUAUUUCUCAUGUUGAAUUUCACAAGUUUCUUAAUCAUCUUCUUUCCCUAUUUGAUAACUUUAUUGGCUUAUAGAUCCAUCAUACAAACAAAUGAAGUCAAGUAGCCAGGCCCUAAGUACAGAAGUUCAAUUUGCUACUUUAAAUAAGGGUAAUUAUUUCAAUUUCAUUAACAGUUACUUCAAUAAAAUCAAUACUAAGCACUUCCAAGUCUUUUCUCCUUUCUCCUGCAUUGUGGAAUUUGGUCACUUGCAUCAUCAGAUAUAAAUCUAUCUGCUGCUAUAGUGGGGUCUCAGACAUUAUCACUACAAAAGAAGCACAGCUGAAUCUGGUUUCUACAUCUGGUGGCCAUCAUGAGAACUAGGGAGAGUCCACGGUGGCAGAAGCAAGCCCCAGGACUGAUACCUCAACAGAUGACAAGAAUCAAAGGCAUGAAAGGGGUCAAUUGGCUGCUGUUGUGGCUUCUGAUUCCAGUGAUAAAUCAAAAGAGAAAUCAGGGGAUCAAAAGCCAGCUUGCUCAAAAUUGUGAAGCAGCCAGAAAAAGCCAAUAGGAAAAAAAAAAUUUAGGCAUAUGUGAAACAACUUGAGAGUAGCCGCCUAAAGCUAACUCAACUAGAGCAAGAGCUCCAGCAAGCCCGCCAGCAGGUUUAACAAUGUUAUACUCAAUUAUGUGCCGUACUCCUUUUUCCAUUUCAAUCUUCUUGUGAAUCAAUAGGAGCCUUUAACUGAGCAACAAUUGGUAGGCAUUUACAGCUUGCAGCAGUCAUUCCAACAGGCUGAAGAUGCUCUGUCACAAGGCAUGGAGGCAUUGCAACAACCCCUGGCUGAGACAUUGGCCAAGGGCUCACCUGGCUCAUCAGGAUCUUCUGGGAAUGUGGCAAACUAUAUAGGUCAAAUGGCCAUGGCCAUAGGAAAGCUUGGAACGCAUGAGGGAUUCCUUCACCAAGUAAUUUCCUAUUCUGGUUUGAUCCCACUUAUUUGUUUUCCUAGUAUGGUUCAAGCACUCAUUACUAGGAAGGAAUGAUGUUGAGAUCGAACUCAAUUUUGAAACAGGCUAGAUUUGAAGUGCUAGGAUAAUCCUUACACAUGGUAGAAUAUUUCUUCUUGGCAUUGCUUUAAAAUGCUUUAGCUACUUUGAUAUUGUCAGUAACAUGGUAGUAAAUCUGUAAGUCUAAUUGUUUUGAGGAAUGUGAGCCUCGCACAAUUAUAAAAUUUUAAUUUAUGUUCUUUGUCCAUAAUUAGCCAGUUUGUGUUCCCAUGGCAUUAGGAUUAUUGUUUCCAGAUCGUACUUUUUUGAAUGUUUUCAGAUAUUUGGAACAUGAGGACUAAACCAAAUCCUACAUGUAAAUGUUGUGUUUGUAUAUUUUCUUUAA